GACGAACGCUGGCGGCGUGCUUAACACAUGCAAGUCGAACGGAAAGGCCCCUUUUGGGGUACUCGAGUGGCGAACGGGUGAGUAACACGUGAGUAACCUGCCCUUGACUUCGGGAUAACUUCAGGAAACUGGGGCUAAUACCGGAUAGGAAUCCUUGCUGCAUGGUGGGGGUUGGAAAGCUUCGGCGGUUUUGGAUGGACUCGCGGCUUAUCAGCUUGUUGGUGGGGUAGUGGCUUACCAAGGCGUUGACGGGUAGCCGGCCUGAGAGGGCGACCGGCCACAUUGGGACUGAGGUACGGCACAGACUCCUACGGGAGGCAGCAGUGGGGAAGAUUGCACAAGGGGCGGAAGCCUGAUGCAGCAACGCCGCGUGCGGGAUGACGGCCUUCGGGUUGGAAAACGCUUUCAGCAGGGGCGAAGCUUGUGGUGACGUUACCUGCAGAAGAAGCACCGGCUAACUACGUG
rnacentral:rRNA from 1 species